AAGGGGGGAGAAACCUAGAAGGUUCCUCCCAUUGCCAUUUUCGUGAAACCCUAGGGCGUCGCCCCAUUUUUCUCCUCCUCUUUCAUACCAAAUCGAUGCAAAUAUAGAGGGGCUGAACUGCAAUCAGCUUUUGCAUGUUUUAUUCCAUGAAAGUUCAACAUCUUUUUCAUUUUUUCACUCGAUUCACUCCUAUAUCUAGGUAAUCAUCUCUAUUUAUUUUUUUCUUUUGAAUUACCGAGUCAAUAUUGCUUUAGUUUUGUUGUACUACACUGUGUUCUCUCAAAUCCUAUUAGUUAAAAUUGGAAUGUUGGGAUUGAGCCAUCAAGGGCUUAGAUUUGGCCGUUCACGUUGUUUAAGGUAUCAUUUCACCGUCGAUUUUGUUGCACAGUGUAAUUUUUGGGAUUUUGUUUGCCCACAUCAAUGGUUUUGAGGUUGGUCUUGACUUGGAGGGUUCUAUAAAUAGAACCACCCCCAGACCAUCGAAAAGGGGGAGGAUUCAAUUAAAUUGAAAAUUCGAUAUUCGAAAUUGGAUAUUCAGUGAUUUUAAGGGUGAUUUUAGAGUCCAAAAUUUUGAGUUCAAAGCUUCUAAAAGUUUUAAAAAUUUAACUUUAACCCUAAACGGGUCAAAAUUUUAUAGUUCUAAAAUUUGAUUUUCUAUUUAUUCGUGCUCGUGUGGCUGAGAGUUGAGGUUUGGAAGCACCAUAGCUUCAAAAUCCAUUCUUGGGAUUCGGCUACACAAAAAAGAGGUCAAAGAAACAAGCACCCUAUUGGGCCUUCCAAAGGCCCAAUAUGAUAAUUCUUUUCAAACCUAUCGAGUCCAAGGAGAGGAAAUGGAAGAAAAUAAAUUGAAGGCCCAAUCAUGGGUGAAAAUGAUACGAAGUCCAACCAUAGGUGAAAAUGGUUAAGAGGCUUGGCACGCCCCAAGUCAUUUUAUUAUUAUUAUGACACGUUAUGUUUGUUUGUAUUAGUAUUUGUAAACUCACAUUACUAUUGAAAACUGAGUGGUUAGAAUUAGACAUUUUAGGCAAACAGUACUUAAGCCGUUCAGUUUGA